rnacentral:lncRNA from 1 species
CUCUCGGGUGGGCCUGCUGUCCAAACUCCUUUCCCCUCCCGCUGCCAGGCCGGGCUCCUAGUUGCUGACUGAUCUCUCCAGGCUUUGGACAACCUUCUCUACACUUCGGGCAUCAGACUUCAUUAUCCUUGCUUUACCAAGCAGGCCGCCCCUGUGGGAGGCCUGGAGGGAAGAGGGUGAGUGGGGAGGAAGGCCCGAAGCUCGGCUUCACACAUCAGAGAGUUUGGGUCCCAUCACUGACUUUCAAUCAACACAGUGCUGCUUCUGUUCACAAAGAUAUUCUUGAUUUGAUCCAUAGAACAGGAUCUGUCAACACUCCUACUACUUGCAAAGAGCUGGAGAAGAGCUUUUGCCGUUACUCCCUCACCGUGGCAGAAGUGACUUACCUGAUGGAUGACAUUAAAAGAAUUGGCCUUUUCUCUGGCUUACCAGCAUGGAGGCAGCCUAUUUUUUCCCGCCUACCUCUCCUUCUAGGUGCUCCACAAGCUACAUUAGGUGCUGGAAAUGGACCAGAUGCUGGAGAUGGAAAGCAUCCCUGUCUUGAAGAGCUCACAUUGGUCAUCAAUGCCUAAAGAAAAAAGAUCCAUAAUGAUCCCCACCAGAUUAUUGAUGACAGAGACCUCUGGAGAUGGGAGUGGAGGUGGUUUCUCUGCUCUCUCAUUUUGCCUGAAGGCCUGUUAUAAGCUAUAGGCCAGAAACUAGGUCUUCUGAAAUUAACAACAGAGAAGAAGAGCCUCCGAGCCCUGGGAGGAAGGACUGUAUCAGAUACUCUAAUUAUUGAUACUGCAAGAAAUACACUCACGGCUGCAGGUUUCCCAGAGAAGCUAAUCUUACCACUGUGGGUGGAGACCUGUCAGACUGUACCUGGGGCAUCGUUCGGAACUUCCAGGACUCCUGUAACCCAGCAGUAGAAGACUUUGUGAAAGCAGACAGCUGAUCCAAG